rnacentral:rRNA from 1 species
GUGCCAGCAGCCGCGGUAAUACGUAGGGGGCAAGCGUUACUCGGAUUUAUUGGGCGUAAAGAGAAUUCAGGCGGUCAUGUAAGUCAGUGGUGAAAUACCUCGGCUCAACUGAGGAAUUGCCUUUGAUACUGCGUGACUCGAGGACAGGAGAGGAAGGCGGAAUUCCCGGUGUAGCGGUGGAAUGCGUAGAUAUCGGGAGGAACACCUGAGGCGAAGGCGGCUUUCUGGACUGGUCCUGACGCUGAUAUUCGAAAGCUAGGGGAGCAAACAGGAUUAGAUACCCUGGUAGUCCUAGCUGUAAACGAUGGAUACUAGAUCUUGCAUGAUUUUGCUUGGUCGAAGCUAACGCGUUAAGUAUCCCGCCUGGGGAGUACGGUCGCAAGGCUGAAACUUAAAUGAAUUGACGGGA